CCCACAGUAGCUCAAUGGUAGAGCACGCGGCUGUAGACCGCGGGGUUGCAGGUUCAACUCCUGCCUGUGGGA
rnacentral:tRNA from 1 species